rnacentral:rRNA from 1 species
AACGAACGCUGGCGGCAGGCUUAACACAUGCAAGUCGAACGCCCCGCAAGGGGAGUGGCAGACGGGUGAGUAACGCGUGGGAAUCUACCGUACCCUACGGAAUAGCUCCGGGAAACUGGAAUUAAUACCGUAUACGCCCUACGGGGGAAAGAUUUAUCGGGGUAUGAUGAGCCCGCGUUGGAUUAGCUAGUUGGUGGGGUAAAGGCCUACCAAGGCGACGAUCCAUAGCUGGUCUGAGAGGAUGAUCAGCCACAUUGGGACUGAGACACGGCCCAAACUCCUACGGGAGGCAGCAGUGGGGAAUAUUGGACAAUGGGCGCAAGCCUGAUCCAGCCAUGCCGCGUGAGUGAUGAAGGUCUUAGGAUUGUAAAGCUCUUUCACCGAUGAAGAUAAUGACGGUAGUCGGAGAAGAAGCCCCGGCUAACUUCGUGCCAGCCGCCGCCGUAA